CUCCGUCACUCUGCGACUGUUGCUUGUAGUUUCUCUACGCGAUCAAAUUUGAAAUGAGGAUCCGUAGGAGAACCAGAG